rnacentral:rRNA from 1 species
GACGAACGCGGGCGGCGUGCCUAAUACAUGCAAGUCGAGCGGAUCUUGUCCUUCGGGAUAAGGUUAGCGGCGGACGGGUGAGUAACACGUAGGCAACCUGCCCUCGAGACUGGGAUAACCUCCGGAAACGGAUGCUAAUACCAGAUACGCGAUCUUCCCACCUGGGGAGAUCGGGAAAGACGGAGCAAUCUGUUACUCGGGGAUGGGCCUGCGGCGCAUUAGCUAGUUGGUGAGGUAACGGCUCACCAAGGCGACGAUGCGCAGCCGACCUGAGAGGGUGAUCGGCCACACUGGGACUGAGACACGGCCCAGACUCCUACGGGAGGCAGCAGUAGGGAAUCUUCCGCAAUGGACGAAAGUCUGACGGAGCAACGCCGCGUGAGUGAGGAAGGCCUUCGGGUCGUAAAGCUCUGUUGCCAGGGAAGAACGCUUGGGAGAGUAACUGCUCUCAAGGUGACGGACCUGAGAAGAAAGCCC